GAUGAACGCUGGCGGCGUGCCUAAUACAUGCAAGUCGAGCGAAUGGAUUAAGAGCUUGCUCUUAUGAAGUUAGCGGCGGACGGGUGAGUAACACGUGGGUAACCUGCCCAUAAGACUGGGAUAACUCCGGGAAACCGGGGCUAAUACCGGAUAACAUUUUGAACCGCAUGGUUCGAAAUUGAAAGGCGGCUUCGGCUGUCACUUAUGGAUGGACCCGCGUCGCAUUAGCUAGUUGGUGAGGUAACGGGUCACCAAGGCAACGAUGCGUAGCCGACCUGAGAGGGUGAUCGGCCACACUGGGACUGAGACACGGCCCAGACUCCUACGGGAGGUAGCAGUAGGGAAUCUUCCGCAAUGGACGAAAGUCUGACGGAGCAACGCCGCGUGAGUGAAGAAGGCUUUCGGGUCGUAAAACUCUGUUGUUAGGGAAGAACAAGUGCUAGUUGAAUAAGCUGGCACCUUGACGGUACCUAACCAGAAAGCCACGGCUAACUACGUGCCAGCCGCCGCGGUAA
rnacentral:rRNA from 1 species